rnacentral:rRNA from 1 species
GGACUACAGGGGUUUCUAAUCCUGUUUGCUCCCCACGCCUUCGCGCCUCAGUGUCAGUAUAGAGCCAGACUGCCGCCUUCGCCACUGAUGUUCCUUUCGAUAUCUACACAUUUCACCGCUACACCGAAAGUUCCGCAGUCCUCUCUCUCACUCUAGUAAUCUGGUAUUUGAUGCACUUUCUCGGUUGAGCCGAGAGCUUUCACACCAAACCUGGAUUACCACCUACACGCCCUUUACGCCCAAUUAUUCUGAUUAACGCUUGCACCCUCUGUCUUACCGCGGCGGCUGGCAC